rnacentral:lncRNA from 1 species
GCCUGGGCUCUCGGCCCCGCCAAGCUCCCGGGCCCAGCCCAGCCCAGCCCAGCCCAGCUCCGGCCAGCUCUCCUCUCCCGGCUCCCUGCGAAGGGGGGGGUGGGGGGGGAUCCCUUUCACGCCAGCAGCCGCGGUCUCCCGAAAAGCCGCAGGACCACGUUGAUUUGCCAUUCUCAAAGAUUUUUUUUUUUUUUUUCUGGCAAAAUAAAAAAAAUACAAAACCCAGCCCGACUUGCAGGGGCGAAGCUUAGCCGGGGGGCCGCCGCAGCCCAGCCCAGCUCGGCGCUUGUCGGAACCUCCUGGACGAAGAGCAGCGCGCGGACGUCGGGUCCACCUGUGUCCGCCCGAGGCACGGCGACGCGAGCCUCAGGACCCCCCGCCCCCACCCGGCUCCCGGGCCGGCGGCCCCUCCGACCCUUCCCCGGGCUGCAAAACGGAGCUUUUCUCCCCGGCUCCAAGUGCCGCCCCAGCCCAGCCCGAAGGCGCAGGGGGGUGCAAAGGAAAGGAACUGGCCACCCAACUUUGGAAAAGUUUCCGGGGGGCUCCGGCUCGCUGAUUUCCCCCUUCUUCGACCACAGAUUCUGUGAGAUUUUUUUUCACGUCCCCCCACCCCAAAUACUGCGAUUAAUCUAAGCCUGGGGGAGAGGGGAUUCGCCCUCUCUCGUCCGUCUUGGGGAGCGCCAACAGGGGUGCCCUUUUUUUUUCCCCCGGAGGGGUCCGGAGCCCCUUGCCCCGCGGCCUACCCCAAACAGCCCCCUACUCUCUCCCCACCCACACCCCGGGGACGGUGGAUGCGCGCUCCGGCUCGGGAUCCGCCCGGGUAGCGCCCCCAGGCCGCCCCGAGCGCCGGCGCCAGCGGCUGCAGAAGGACGGGGCCAGAGCGGCCCCAGGCUCGCCAGGAGCCGGGCGGGGGGCGACGGCGCCCCGGGGGCCAUGCGGCUGAGUGGUGCCGGGGGCGGCGGCGGCACCAGCGGAAAGAGCCCGAGCGCCUGAGCCGGUGGGAAUCGAGGCGAAGCGGGCCGAGCGCCAGCACGCACACCCUGGCCUGGAAGCAGGCACGGAGGCGCCCUCCGCCCCUGUGUCCGGAGCCCCGCGGGGCCGGCGGCGUCGGGAUGAAUUGCUGGGCGCUGCUCUUAUCUCUCUGCUACCUGCCUCUGGUCAGCACCGAGGGGGACCCCAUUCCCGAGGAGAUCUAUGAGCUGCUCAGCCACCCCUCGCUCCGAUCCAUCAGUGACCUCCAGCACCUGCUGCGGAUAGACUCCAGGAGGAUGUGGCCGAACUGGACCUGAACCUGACUCAGGCGCGUUUCCCCAGUGAGCCGGCCAGCCUGUCUCGCGGAAGGAGGAGCGUGGCGGCCGUGACUGUGGCCGAGCCAGCCAUGAUCGCCGAGUGCAAGACGCGGACGGAGGUGUUCGAGAUCUCCCGGCGCCUCAUUGACCGCACCAACGCCAAUUUCCUGGUGUGGCCGCCCUGCGUGGAGGUGCAGAGGUGCUCGGGCUGCUGCAACAACCGCAACGUGCAGUGCCGCGCCACGCAGGUGCAGCUCAGACAUGUACAGGUCAGGAAGAUAGAAAUUGUGCGGAAGAAGCCAACCUUUAAGAAGGUGACGGUGACCUUGGAGGAUCACUUGGCCUGCAAGUGCGAGACCAUAGCAACCCCCCGGUCCUUGCCCCGGAGCCCCCCGAGCAUCCAGGGAAACAGAGGUGGGUCCACCCCAAACAAAGUGACAGUGAGGAGGGUACGCAUCCGACGGCCGCCCAAGGGGAAGCACCGAAAGUUCAAGCACACCCAUGACAAGACAGCCCUGAAGGAGAGUCUUGGAGCAUAGGGGCACCCGCCAGAGAGAGCAUGAUGGGCAGGUUUAUUUAAUGUAGUUCUCGUAUUGCCCCCAUGGGGUUCUUGGAGUGAGAAUAUUGUUCUUCUUGUCUGUCCGUCUCGAUGGCCGACGCGGAUGACAAAUGGUGCUUCCCCUGCCCCACGGCCUUGCAGUGGAUCUUCCAUCCCCCCCAGCUCAGCAGCACCCUGGCCCUCUGUGCCCAGCAGCUCCCGGGGGCUUCCAGAGGCCCCAAUGCCAUCCUUCCCACUGGCAGUGGAGAAGGCCUUUGGCUAGAGGGGCUGCUUCUUCCAGAAGGCCCUGCUGGGGUGAGAGGUGGGACUGUGGACUCAGAGGACUCCAAGCGUUGGCCCAACAAGCCGGAUUUUGCCCUAGGACUCGUAGCAUCGGCCCAGAGCCUGAGUGUCCCUGACCCUGGACUGGUGGGGCUGCCCGCAGGAACCUUCUUCCCCUGGCCAGCACCCACGGAGCACGGAGCUGGACCCGGCAGUCCCUGUCCCCUCCUGCCCAUCCCCUGCUUGAUUAUUUCACUUUUUAUGCACAUAAUUUGGAAACUGGUUUCUUCUGAAGCGGGUUUUGCCACGGGAGAGCAGCCUGUGGCCUGUGGUGCUGACGGGAGGCUCACCCCCUGCUCCUGGCACGUGGGUGGGCUGUAGAGGGAAGAAGGGCUCAAUCCUGUCUCUCACCACUCCCUCCUUCCAUUUCUCUGCCCUCCUCAUCCUACAUCAUGGUUGGCCCCAACCUCAAUGGAACACCUCCAGCCCUGGAGAGGCAGGAGUGGGAGCGAAGGAGGGAGGAGGGAGGAGAGUGGGAAGAUCCCCUAGUCCACCCCCACCCCUGGCCUCAUCCCAGCCCCUCUCUAGGUCUCAUUUUCCCCAUCUGUAAAAUGAGAGACUUGGACUACAUUACUUCUGAGGUUCCAUCCAACUCUAAAAAAUCCGUCCCUGAGCAUCUUGGGAGACAGAAUGCCCCAUGUGACCCCAUAUGUAGCUUCCAGAGGCUGCUGAGUCUUUGAGGAAGCCCCGCCCCCCAAACCUCCCAAGGCCUGAUCCCGGGGUCUCCUGGGGGAAGGACUGGGUGGGGAUGACUGAAGGGAGGGGCAGGCUUGCCUUCCCAUCUAUCCCACGUUCUGCAGCUUUCUCUUACUCAGAAACCCGCUUCCUUCAGUUUGUAAAGUUGGUGAUUAUAUUUUUUUUGGCUUUUCUUUUAUUUUUUAAAUGUAAAAUUAAUUUAUAUUCUGUAUUUAAAAUUGUAAAAAAAAAAAUCAAACCAUAUGACACAAGGACAAAUGAACCCACCAGUUCUGUCUCCGUCUAUCACCUAUGUAUCCCCCUUCCCUCCUUCCCUCCCUCCAUCAGGGGAGCUGACAGUGGACUGCUGACUGACUCCCCCAAAAGAGUCCUUUGCUCUGAAUUUCUGGGUCCCCAGCCCUAAAAGGGGCACAGUCACUCUAUUUACCUUUCUCCUCUAGUCCCCAAAGUAAAGUCCUGGAUUUGAACUCAGCCUCUGCUGAUUGCCAGCUAUAAAACCUUAAGUAAGCCACUUUACCUAUUGAGCCUCAGUUUCCCCAUCUGUAAAAUGGGGAUAUUGGACUGGCUUAUCUCUAAAGCUCUUCCCAAAUCUAAAAGUAGUGGGACAGAUGAAACAUUGCCCUAGUCUGUGAGUUCAAAUCCGACCUUGGACACUAGCAUGUGACAAAUCAGUCCCCCACUCUAAAGCUCAUUACUUCAUGUACCAAAUGGGGAUAAUAUUUCUCUCUACCAGAAUGGUGGUAGGGAUCCCAUGAAAUGAGGGCAGGGGGCUCUUCCAGGUCUGUGUCUUAAACACUCUGUUCUUAAACAAGGACCAAUCUGGGGCUGAGCCCUUCAAACCAAGAUGUGACCUGGCCCCAGAACCCCAGAACACUCAGGACACCAACAUUACCGAUGGUCACUUCCAUUUCCAUUUAUUUUACAUUUAAAUCUGGUUCGGCUCAUUCUGGGGAGUUGUCUCUAAGAAAUGUAGAAAGUCCAAGUCUCUGCACAAGGUUCCGAAGUCAUUCAUGUUCCGCUUGAAUACUUCCGCAGUGGCAGAGUUCAUUACCUAAAAGGGCAGCUCUUCCAUUGUACGGUUCUGAUGGUUAGAAUAUUCUGCCUUCUAUGGAACUGAAGUCGGGCACCCAGUGACCAACAAGCUUUUACUAAGUGCUCCCUUUGGGCCAGACACUGCCAAGGGUUGAGGAUGCAAAAAAAAGGCAUAAUUACAUUUCCUACCCUCAAGAAACUUACAUUUUCCCAGGCCUUUUUAAAAUCAACCUGUUCAUUUUUUAUAGAACAGCAACAUUUCAUUACUUUCACACAUCGUAAUUUAUUCAGCCAUUCCCCAAUUGAUGGGCAUUCACUUAAUUACUAGUUUCUUGCUAGGACCGCCACAAACGGUU